AUGAACGCUGGCGGCGUGCCUAAUACAUGCCAGUCGAGCGAACAGACGAGGAGCUCGCUCCUCUGACGUUAGCGGCGGACGGGUGAGUAACACGUGGAUAACCUACCUAUAAGACUGGGAUAACUUCGGGAAACCGGAGCUAAUACCGGAUAAUAUAUUGAACCGCAUGGUUCAAUAGUGAAAGACGGUUUUGCUGUCACUUAUAGAUGGAUCCGCGCCGCAUUAGCUAGUUGGUAAGGUAACGGCUUACCAAGGCGACGAUGCGUAGCCGACCUGAGAGGGUGAUCGGCCACACUGGAACUGAGACACGGUCCAGACUCCUACGGGAGGCAGCAGUAGGGAAUCUUCCGCAAUGGGCGAAAGCCUGACGGAGCAACGCCGCGUGAGUGAUGAAGGUCUUCGGAUCGUAAAACGCUGUUAUUAGGGAAGAACAAAUGUGUAAGUAACUAUGCACGUCUUGACGGUACCUAAUCAGAAAGCCACGGCUAACUACGU
rnacentral:rRNA from 1 species